rnacentral:rRNA from 1 species
AUACGUAGGGGGCGAGCGUUGUCCGGAAUGAUUGGGCGUAAAGGGCGCGUAGGCGGCGCGGUAAGUCUGGAGUGAAAAUCCUGCUUUCAAGGUGGGAAUUGCUUUGGAUACUGCCGCGCUUGAGUGCAGGAGAGGUUAUCGGAAUUCCCGGUGUAGCGGUGAAAUGCGUAGAGAUCGGGAGGAACACCAGUGGCGAAGGCGGGUAACUGGACUGCAACUGACGCUGAGGCGCGAAAGUGUGGGGAGCAAACAGGAUUAGAUACCCUGGUAGUCCACACUGUAAACGAUGAAUGCUAGGUGUAAGAGGUAUCGACCCCUUUUGUGCCGGAGUCAACACAAUAAGCAUUCCGCCUGGGGAGUACGGCCGCAAGGUUGAAACUCAAAGGAAUUGGCGGGG